rnacentral:rRNA from 1 species
UACGUAGGUGGCAAGCGUUAUCCGGAUUUAUUGGGUGUAAAGGGCGUGUAGGCGGGAGCGCAAGUCAGAUGUGAAAACUCAGGGCUCAACCCUGAGCCUGCAUUUGAAACUGUGUUUCUUGAGUGCUGGAGAGGCAAUCGGAAUUCCGUGUGUAGCGGUGAAAUGCAUAGAUAUCACGCAGAACUCCGAUUGCGAAGGCAGCUUACUAAGCCAUAACUGACACUGAAGCACGAAAGCGUGGGGAUCAAACAGG